CAAUGGGAGAAAUCCUGAAGCAGCAACGCCGCGUGGAGGAUGAAGGGUCUAUGACUUGUAAACUCCUGUAAAGAAGGAAAAAAUUCCCAUUUGAUGGGAGAUGAUGGUACUUCUGGAGUAAGCCCCGGCUAACUACGUGCCAGCAGCCGCGGUAAUACGUAGGGGGCAAGCGUUGUCCGGAUUUACUGGGUGUAAAGGGUGCUCAGGCGGAUUUGUAAGUCAGAGGUGAAAUCUUACAGCUUAACUGUGAAACUGCCUUUGAUACUGCAAGCCUAGAGUAUGGAAGAGAGUGAUGGAAUAUCUGGUGUAGCAGUGAAAUGCGUAGAUAUCAGAUAGAACACCAAUGGCGAAGGCAGUCACUUGGUCCAUUACUGACGCUAAAGCACGAAAGCGUGGGUAGCAAACA
rnacentral:rRNA from 1 species